rnacentral:siRNA from 1 species
UGAUGGGCUUAGAUGAUG